GUGGACAAGCACUUUUGAAGAUUGAAAACAUUGCUAAAUCUUGUAAUGCAGUGGCAAUUCUGUCAACUCUUAUUUAUCACUCAGCAGUACGAGCAGGUUUUGUGAAGAAUCUGAUCUCAUUGACAGCAAAAAAUGGGAAAUCUUCUGCUCGCUGGCCUAAUCUUCCAUGGUUGCACACAGAUUCCUGGAUAAAGAACUCCAAAGACUUGCUUCCAGAAAAUAUGGAUAAUCAAUCUGAAUGUCAG
rnacentral:misc_RNA from 1 species